rnacentral:misc_RNA from 1 species
UCCGGUUUGUCACCGGCAGUCUCAUUAGAGUGCCCUUUCGUAGCAACUAAUGACAAGGGUUGCGCUCGUUGCGGGACUUAACCCAACAUCUCACGACACGAGCUGACGACAGCCAUGCAGCACCUGUGUGCAGAUUCUCUUUCGAGCACUCCUCAAUCUCUCGAGGAUUUCUGCCAUGUCAAGGGUAGGUAAGGUUUUUCGCGUUGCAUCGAAUUAAUCCACAUCAUCCACCGCUUGUGCGGGUCCCCGUCAAUUCCUUUGAGUUUUAACCUUGCGGCCGUACUCCCCAGGCGGAUAACUUAAUGCGUUAGCUGCGCCACCAAAAGCCCAUGGCCCCUGACAGCUAGUUAUCAUCGUUUACGGCGUGGACUAC